GCAAGUCGGACGGUAACAUGAGGUGCUUGCACUUUGAUGACGAGUGACGCACGGGUGCGCAACGCGUAUAGAACCUCCCCUGUACAGGGGGAUAGCCCAGAGUAAUUUGGAUUAAUACUCCGUGGUAAAUAUAAAUGGCAUCAUUUAUAUUUUAAAGUUUUCGGACGGUACAGGAUGUCUAUGCGUCCUAUUAGUUAGAUGGCGUGGUAACGGCACACCAUGGCAGCGAUAGGUAGGGGCCCUGAGAGGGGGAUC
rnacentral:rRNA from 1 species